UACGGGGGGGGCAAGCGUUGUUCGGAAUUACUGGGCGUAAAGGGCUCGUAGGCGGCCAACUAAGUCGGAUGUGAAAUCCCCAGGCUCAACCUGGGAACUGCAUCCGAUACUGGAUGGCUUGAAUCCGGGAGAGGGAUGCAGAAUUCCAGGUGUAGCGGUGAAAUGCGUAGAUAUCUGGAGGAAUACCGGUGGCGAAGGCGGCAUCCUGGACCGGCAUUGACACUGAGGCGCGACAGCGUGGGGAGCAAACAGG
rnacentral:rRNA from 1 species